UACGUAGGGUGCGAGCGUUAAUCGGAAUUACUGGGCGUAAAGCGUGCGCAGGCGGUUUUGUAAGCCAGAUGUGAAAUCCCCGGGCUUAACCUGGGAACUGCAUUGGUGACUGGCAGGCUUUGAGUGUGGCAGAGGGAGGUAGAAUUCCACGUGUAGCAGUGAAAUGCGUAGAGAUGUGGAGGAAUACCGAUGGCGAAGGCAGCCUCCUGGGCCAACACUGACGCUCAUGCACGAAAGCGUGGGGAGCAAACAGG
rnacentral:rRNA from 1 species